rnacentral:lncRNA from 1 species
UUUUCCCCCUCAACCAAACACACGAUGUUCUUCUUUAAAGAUCUUGAAGUUGGCGCAUUCUGAUACUUUGUACGUGCUUGAAAACUGAUGUAAGUGCUUUUGUGAAAAGAUCUGCCACAUUAUCACUCGAACAAAUAUAUUGAAUAUCCACCUCUUUACUUCUUUCAAGUUCUUGUGUGAAUGAGAAGAACUUUGGAGGGAUAUAUUUGGUUCUAUCACUUUUGGUGUAACCUUCCUUCAUUUGGGUAACACAAGCAGCAUUGUCUUCAUACAAAAUUGUUGGAUUCUUAUUAACUGUUAAACUAGACGCUCCUUGGAUAUGUUGGGUAACUUAUCUUAACCAUCUACACUAUUUGCUUGCUUCAUGAACGGCUAUUACUUCAUCAUGAUUUUAAGAAGUUGCUACAAGUGUUUGCUUUUGAGAUCUGCAUGAUAUUGCAGAGCCACCAUAUGUAAACACAUAUCCAGUUUGUGAUUUAGCAAUAUGUGGAUCUGACAAAUAUUUUGCAUCUGCAAAACCAAGCAAAACUAGUUUUUUUUUGUUAGAAUAAAACAAACCAAGAUCUCACGUGUACCUCGGAGAUAUCGAAAUAUAUGUUUUACUCCUUUUCAAUGUCUCUUUGUAGGACAUGAACUGAAUCUCGCAAGUAAAUUCACGGCAAAAGCUAUAUCAGAUUUUGUACAAUUAGUAAGGUACAUAAGUGUCCCAAUUACACUGAGAUAUGGCACUUCAAAGCCAAGAUCAUCUUCAUUAUCCUCCUUAGUUCUAAAGGGAUCCUUUUCAAACAUUAAGUGUUCUACCUAUCAUUGAAGUACUCAGAGUGUUUGUCUUGUCCAUAUUAAACCCUUUUAAUACUCUCUCUGCAUAAUUUGAUUGAUGUACUAAUAUACCAUUUUUUUAAUGUACUCAAUUUGUAGAGAAAAUCAUAACCUAGUUUUUC